AGAGUUUGAUCCUGGCUCAGGACGAACGUGGCGCAGCUAUAAUGCAGUCGAACGCUUCUUUUCCCACCGGAGCUUGCUCCACCGGGAAAAGAGGAGUGGCGAACGGGUGAGUAACACGUGGGUAACCUGCCCAUCAGAAGGGGAUAACACUUGGAAACAGGUGCUAAUACCGUAUAACAAUCGAAACCGCAUGGUUUCGUUUUGAAAGGCGCUUUACGGUGCCGCUGAUGGAUGGACCCGCGGUGCAUUAGCUAGUUGGUGAGGUAACGGCUCACCAAGGCCACGAUACAUAGCCGACCUGAGAGGGUGAUCGGCCACAUUGGGACUGAGACACGGCCCAAACUCCUACGGGAGGCAGCAGUAGGGAAUCUUCGGCAAUGGACGAAAGUCUGACCGAGCAACGCCGCGUGAGUGAAGAAGGUUUUCGGAUCGUAAAACUCUGUUGUUAGAGAAGAACAAGGGUGAGAGUAACUGUUCACCCCUUGACGGUAUCUAACCAGAAAGCCACGGCUAACUACGUGCCAGCAGCCGCGGUAAUACAUAGGUGGCAAGCGUUGUCCGGAUUUAUUGGGCGUAAAGCGAGCGCAGGCGGGUUUUUUAAGUCUUGAUGUGAAAGCCCCGGCUCAACCGGGGAGGGUCAUUGGAAACUGGGAGACUUGAGUGCAGAAGAGGAGAGUGGAAUUCCAUGUGUAGCGGUGAAAUGCGUAGAUAUAUGGAGGAACACC
rnacentral:rRNA from 1 species